UUCACAAUUCCCCCAAAAGGCUACUAUUUUCCCUAUUGAUAUAGCAAUUGCAUCUGCCCAAAGAAAAAGCUAUGGCACUCGCGCAUAAUUGUCUUCUUCAGCAACACCAUCAUCCUUGUUGGUGCAAGAAAAAGGGUAAGCCAUAUGGCAAGUCAAGAAGGUUACACGUGGUACAUGCAACCAAUCAGUGAGUCACAGGAGAGGGUAAAGAGUCGAGACUGCAAAAUCUUCUUCAAUGUUGUGCAAUUUACUUUGCAGAUUGAAUACUGUUUUGGCAACAGAAAAUGGUGCAGAUAUAGCUCCAGACUGACAGGCAAUGUAGCAGACAAGCAUCUUUUCAGGUUUUUGAUUCGAACGAUUCGUCUUCUCUUCUGUAGGCAAAUUAAUACGAGUAAAAACUCAGGUUUUUGUGUUCUGAGAAUGAGAUAUAAUUCACACAUGCACAACACCAAUUCAUUCAUACCACUAAGAUAGUAUAUACAAUCUGCACAACCACUUUGGUAGAAGAUUAUGAUAAA